CACGGGGGGAGCAAGCGUUGUUCGGAAUCACUGGGCGUAAAGGGCGUGUAGGCGGUCAGGUAAGUGGGAUGUGAAAGCCCUCGGCUCACCCGAGGAUCUGCAUCUCAAACUGCCUGGCUUGAGUAUGGGAGAGGAUGAGGGAAUUCCUGGUGUAGCGGUGAAAUGCGUAGAUAUCAGGAGGAACACCUGUGGCGAAGGCGCUCAUCUGGCCCAAUACUGACGCUGAGGCGCGAAAGCUAGGGGAGCAAACGGG
rnacentral:rRNA from 1 species